rnacentral:lncRNA from 1 species
CCCAAGUCCAGACAAGCCCAGCUGACCCAUCAGUGGUGUGUGCAGGCAGACCAAGUCCUGCAGCCAGAGGCUCAUAAGGGGCUGAUUGCACUUGGCAUUGCAUUUGCCUUCAGCUGCUUUCCAAAUUAAAUUUAACUUUUUAGGGAUCAGCCGGAUGAAGCUGCUUACUGCAGCUGUGAGGCCUGUCCCUCCAUGAAGAACAGCAAAGCUCCUUGGCAGGCUCCAGCUGCCCGGGCUGUGCUUGCUCAGCUCCUCUGCUGCCCCAAACCUCUUGCUGCCUGCACUUCAGCCAUGCUUCUCCUCAAGGAUCUCAAAACACCCCCCUGGUGCUGUUUUGUUUCAGGGCAAGGAAAUGACUGUUGGAUUGCUGAUCAGCCAAGCUUUUCUAGAGAGAGCAAAUAUUAA